rnacentral:tRNA from 1 species
GGAGAGAUGGCCGAGUGGUCGAAGGCGCUCCCCUGCUAAGGAGUAUGCGGGCAAACCUGCAUCGAGGGUUCGAACCCUCUCUCUCCGCCA